AGGCUCCAAGUCAGUGGUCAGGCUUGUUGGAGUUUCUCCAGGGACCCCCUCCCACCUGGCUGUCUCACAAGGACAACAUGUGGCAGGGAACCCUAGCAAAGACCAUGACGGAGAAGACACAUUUAAGCUGAGAGGUGAAGGGAUGCUCUUCACUUCUUACAAGUUGGAAUGCCAGGCUGCUGCUCAGGUGAUCUGCCUCUUGGACCAGCUCUGAAGAUGGGACAAUGAUCAGUGUAAGAUCCCUGAGAUGCUGAGACACGAUGGGAUGGAGGAAAGCUAUGGGACAAGUGGCCUUUCAUAGGAGGAGGAGCUCCUUGUCAAAUGUGAGGAGCGAAGCAGGACAGGAGCAUGAGAACAGGAAGCCAGAAGUUAUGGGCACACUCAAGCAGCACUAGGGAGAGGCUCAUGAGUAGAACUGAGGCAUCCUGCAAACAGCCGUGGACUAACCUGUAUUGGGAACAGAUUCUCCAGCUCCACGUAAGUCUUCAGAUGAUGGUUUAUUUUCUUUUUUUAAUUAAAAAAUUUUUAAAAAGGUAAUUAAAUUUAAGGAGGACUUCCCUUAUUAUAUCAAGAGGUUAAUACUCAAAAUGGUGGUGGUGUGUCAUUUUUAAGAAUUUUCCUUCAGAAUGAAAUUCUAAUGAUCUGGUAAGCAGUUAGAAUUUGGUUCUGCCCUAAGGCUCCUUUCUCUUAAUAAGAUUAAAAAUUGAGGGUAAACAGGAAACAAAAUCUGAGAUGUGCAUUGAUUUCAAAUGAAGCUCAGUAACCCCCAAAUGUAAAAGUCCUUCCUGACAUAACACACAUAUCAAGACCCAAGAUUUCUCAGAGAGAAUCCGAUGCCCACUCUCUAGAGGCUAAGCUCCCACUGCGGGGGCAAUGUUACCUGUUACCUUUAGCUCUUUUUUCUCUCUCUGGCUUUUAUCUCAGAGGUCUGUUCCUUAGUCUCUGUUGAGGUGAAACUCCAAUAUCUGAACUCAACCAGCCAAAUAAGCAACCUGUGUACAAGCCAAGUUAAAGUUUCACUCCCAUAAUGGAUGAGGAGAAACCAGAAGACAUUUCUCAUGUGCAGGGAGUGCAUGAAUCCCCUGAAUUGCCAGGUUUCAGGGUCACAAGAGACCUCUAGAAGGCUCUGCUCAUCAUCACCUUAUCAUCUGGUAGGUUCCAGGUAUCUGGGUGCACGUGAAUUAAGUCUUAAUGACUUUAAAUUCUGUCUCAAAUUUUUAUCCUCUUAUAAGUUUAAGCUUUUUGUCUGAGGAAAAGUGCAAAUAUUCCAUGAAGAAGUGAGGUCAGAUCUCUUUUGGCAGGGAUAAAGAAUACCACAGAGUGGGUCCUAAUGGCAAGGAGAGAGAAAGAGUAAGUAAGUAAGUAAGUUUUGAAGUGUAUGGGAAUGCCUUGGA